rnacentral:rRNA from 1 species
UAAGGAAUAUUGCUCAAUGGGAGAAAUCCUGAAGCAGCAACGCCGCGUGGAGGAUGAAGGGUCUAUGACUUGUAAACUCCUGUAAAGAAGGAAAAAAUUCCCAUUUGAUGGGAGAUGAUGGUACUUCUGGAGUAAGCCCCGGCUAACUACGUGCCAGCAGCCGCGGUAAUACGUAGGGGGCAAGCGUUGUCCGGAUUUACUGGGUGUAAAGGGUGCUCAGGCGGAUUUGUAAGUCAGAGGUGAAAUCUUACAGCUUAACUGUGAAACUGCCCUUGAUACUGCAAGCCUAGAGUAUGGAAGAGAGUGAUUGAAUAUCUGGUGUAGCAGUGAAAUGCGUAGAUAUCAGAUAGAACACCAAUGGCGAAGGCAGUCACUUGGUCCAUUACUGACGCUAAAGCACGAAAGCGUGGGUAGCAAACA